rnacentral:rRNA from 1 species
GAUGAACGCUGGCGGCGUGCCUAAUACAUGCAAGUCGAGCGAACAGACGAGGAGCUUGCUCCUCUGACGUUAGCGGCGGACGGGUGAGUAACACGUGGAUAACCUACCUAUAAGACUGGGAUAACUUCGGGAAACCGGAGCUAAUACCGGAUAAUAUAUUGAACCGCAUGGUUCAAUAGUGAAAGACGGGUUUGCUGUCACUUAUAGAUGGAUCCGCGCCGCAUUAGCUAGUUGGUAAGGUAACGGCUUACCAAGGCGACGAUGCGUAGCCGACCUGAGAGGUUGAUCGGCCACACUGGAACGGCGACACGGUCCAGACUCCUACGGGAGGCAGCAGUAGGGAAUCUUCCGCAAUGGGCGAAAGCCUGACGGAGCAACGCCGCGUGAGUGAUGAAGGUCUUCGGAUCGUAAAACUCUGUUAUUAGGGAAGAACAAAUGUGUACGUAACUAUGCACGUCUUGCCGGUACCUAAUCAGAACGCCACGGCUAACUACGUG